CGUNCCAGCAGCCGCGGUAAUACGUAGNUCCCGAGCGUUGUCCGGAUUUAUUGGGCGUAAAGCGAGCGCAGGCGGUUAGAUAAGUCUGAAGUUAAAGGCAGUGGCUCANCCAUUGUAGGCUUCGGAAACUGUUUAACUUGAGUGCAGAAGGGGAGAGAGGAAUUCCAUGUGUAGCGGUGAAAUGCGUAGAUAUAUGGAGGAACACCGGUGGCGAAAGCGGCUCUCUGGUCUGUAACUGACGCUGAGGCUCGAAAGCGUGGGGAGCGAACAGGAUUAGAUACCCUGGUAGUCCACGCCGUAAACGAUGAGUGCUAGGUGUUAGGUCCUUUCCGGGACUUAGUGCCGCAGCUAACGCAUUAAGCACUCCGCCUGGGGAGUACGACCGCAAGGUUGAAACUCAAAGGAAUUGACGGGGGCCCGCACAAGCGGUGGAGCAUGUGGUUUAAUUCGAAGCAACGCGAAGAACCUUACCAGGUCUUGACAUCCUGAUGCCCGCUCUAGAGAUAGAGCUUUACUUCGGUACAUCGGUGACAGGUGGUGCAUGGUUGUCGUCAGCUCGUGUCGUGAGAUGUUGGGUUAAGUCCCGCAACGAGCGCAACCCUUAUUGUUAGUUGCCAUCAUUCAGCUGGGCACUCUAGCGAGACUGCCGGUAAUAAACCGGAGGAAGGUGGGGAUGACGUCAAAUCAUCAUGCCCCUUAUGACCUGGCUACACACGUGCUACAAUGGCUGGUACAACGAGUCGCAAGCCGGUGACGGCAAGCUAAUCUCUGAAAGCCAGUCUCAGUUCGGAUUGUAGGCUGCAACUCGCCUACAUGAAGUCGGAAUCGCUAGUAAUCGCGGAUCAGCACGCCGCGGUGAAUACGUUCCCGGGCCUUGUACACACCGCCCGUCACACCACGAGAGUUUGUAACACCCGAAGUCGGUGAGGUAACCGUAAGGANCCA
rnacentral:rRNA from 1 species